AUAGAGCAGAUUAUUAUUUCAUCUUGAUAGACAACAGGAAAAACUACUCUAUUUAUCUCAAGUAGAAUAUAAACAAAGUCUUCUUUAAUGGGACAAAAUCUUAUGCACUAAAUCAACCUAAUUACCAGACUCCCUAACCAUUUGCAGUUCUCGGCAACCAAAAUAAAAGGUGGCAGCCAAACUGAUAGGUUAACAAGAGCAAAAGAAA
rnacentral:misc_RNA from 1 species